UACGUAGGGGCAAGCGUUGUCCGGAUUAUUGGGCGUAAAGAGCGUGUAGGCGGCCAUACAGGUCAGCUGUGAAAACUCGAGGCUCAACCUCGAGACGUCGGUUGAAACCGUAUGGCUAGAGUCCGGAAGAGGAGAGUGGAAUUCCCGGUGUAGCGGUGAAAUGCGCAGAUAUCGGGAAGAACACCCGUGGCGAAGGCGGCUCUCUGGGACGGUACUGACGCUGAGACGCGAAAGCGUGGGAGCGAACAGG
rnacentral:rRNA from 1 species